rnacentral:rRNA from 1 species
GCAACAGAGUUUGAUCCUGGCUCAGGACGAACGCUGGCGGCGUGCUUAACACAUGCAAGUCGAACGAAGAGCGAUGGAAGCUUGCUUCUAUCAAUCUUAGUGGCGAACGGGUGAGUAACGCGUAAUCAACCUGCCCUUCAGAGGGGGACAACAGUUGGAAACGACUGCUAAUACCGCAUACGAUCCGACCUCGGCAUCGAGGAUGGAUGAAAGGUGGCCUCUAUUUAUAAGCUAUCACUGAAGGAGGGGAUUGCGUCUGAUUAGCUAGUUGGAGGGGUAACGGCCCACCAAGGCAAUGAUCAGUAGCCGGUCUGAGAGGAUGAACGGCCACAUUGGGACUGAGACACGGCCCAGACUCCUACGGGAGGCAGCAGUGGGGAAUCUUCCGCAAUGGACGAAAGUCUGACGGAGCAACGCCGCGUGAGUGAUGACGGCCUUCGGGUUGUAAAGCUCUGUUAAUCGGGACGAAAGGCCUUCUUGCGAAUAGUUAGAAGGAUUGACGGUACCGGAAUAGAAAGCCACGGCUAAC